rnacentral:lncRNA from 1 species
AAACCCAUGGCAGGAUAGAAUCAGUUUCCCAAAACAGGAACUCUAGCUUUCUCUUGAGACAGGAUUCAGUAAAUAUAUGUAUUUCUUCUGGUAUUUUUCUGUGUGUAUGUGUAUAUUUUAUUUUAUUACAUAAUAAAAUCAUAGAGUAUAAAGUUUUAUAUCCUUUUUAAAUAACAUUAUUGGGCAUCCUUGAGGUCUUCAAAAUUUUUUCAAAAACUGACUUUUAAAGGCUGUGAAAUAUUCCAUCAUUUUGAUAUAAAAUUUAUUCAAUUAUACAUCAUUAGUCACUUAGUAGUUUUCCUCUUUGUUAAAGAUCAUUGCGCAUAAAAAUGUGUCCACAUUUCUCAGUGUUUUAGGAUAGAUUCACAAGUGUGGAAUUCUCGGUCAAAGAAUAAGAACAUUUUUAAGAUUUUUGACAUAAGAUUGCCUAACUGCUUUCCAGAAAGACUGAACCAAUUUAUACUCUCUCCAGAGUGGGGGGAAAAAAUGCUGAUCUUACCAGAUUUUGAGUGUUGUCAUUUUUCAAAUGCUUUGUUAUUUCAAUAGACUUUAAAAUGGUAUCUCAAGCUUAUUUUGUUUGAAUACUUAUGAGUUUAACUCUUUUUUUCAAAUUUGUUAGUCCUUUAUAUUGUCCUUUGCCUAGUUUUUUUUUUAUUGCAAUCAUAGUGUUCCUCUUUACUUCUUUAGUUGUCUAAGGAUAUAAAUCCUUUUUCUGAAGUAUUUGUAGCAGAUGCUUUCUGCCAAAAAUGCUUUGUUGUAAGUUUUUAGAACAUUGUCAUGCCUUUUGAUGUACUUAAGUUUUGUAUUUGCAUUAGGGAAUCGAUUGCUCCUUUCCACUCCCUCUAUUGGUUAUCUGUACAGAAAAUCCUUUUCCACCCAGAGCUCUGACAAAUGUUCAUCUCAAUAUUUUCAAAUUUUGGUUUCAUUUAAAAUUUUCUCUUUGAUCCAUCUGGAUUUAUUUUGAUAUAUGAUGUGUGAGAGGCUUUGGCGCUGGAGGGAUUCAUAAAGCUAGGGUGUUCAAAACCCUGACGCAUUGUUGGGGAGCCCCAGGAAAGGAUAACAGGAAAAACAAGCAUGCGACAGCAACUAAGUGGCUUCUCGUUGGUCCCAUCUUUUCUCUUUCUCCACAAGUGAGGGAUCUCCCUUUACCACGAUGAAC